AUACGUAGGGAGCGAGCGUUGUCCGGAAUUACUGGGUGUAAAGGGAGCGUAGGCGGGAGUGCAAGUCAGAUGUGAAAUACAUGGGCUCAACCCAUGGGCUGCAUUUGAAACUGCAUUUCUUGAGUGAAGUAGAGGUAAGCGGAAUUCCUGGUGUAGCGGUGAAAUGCGUAGAUAUCAGGAGGAACACCGGUGGCGAAGGCGGCUUACUGGGCUUUUACUGACGCUGAGGCACGAAAGCGUGGGGAGCAAACAGGAUUAGAUACCCUGGUAGUCCACGCUGUAAACGAUGAUUACUAGGUGUGGGGGGACUGACCCCUUCCGUGCCGCAGUUAACACAAUAAGUAAUCCACCUGGGGAGUACGGCCGCAAGGUUGAAACUCAAAUGAAUUGACGGGG
rnacentral:rRNA from 1 species